GAUGAACGCUGGCGGCGUGCCUAAUACAUGCAAGUCGAGCGAACGGACGAGAAGCUUGCUUCUCUGAUGUUAGCGGCGGACGGGUGAGUAACACGUGGAUAACCUACCUAUAAGACUGGGAUAACUUCGGGAAACCGUAGCUAAUACCGGAUAAUAUUUUGAACCGCAUGGUUCAAAAGUGAAAGACGGUCUUGCUGUCACUUAUAGAUGGAUCCGCGCUGCAUUAGCUAGUUGGUAAGGUAACGGCUUACCAAGGCAACGAUGCAUAGCCGACCUGAGAGCGUGCAGCGCCACACGGGAACGUGACCCGGGCCCAGACCCCGAGGGGAGGGGAAGGAGGGGAAUCUUCCGCAAGGGGAGAAGACCUGACGGAAGCCGCGGGGGUGAGUGAAAGAGGUUUUGGGAUCUAAAAUCUGUUUUAGUGGGGAAAAAAAUAUUUGUAAGAAACUGAACCCUUCUGGGGGGAACUUAAUAAAAAGGCCACGGCUAACUACGUC
rnacentral:rRNA from 1 species